rnacentral:rRNA from 1 species
CCGUAGGAUGCCUCUUCUUCCCCUGCGGGCUGCGGCCUCAUCCAUGAAUAGCGCCGCCGGCCUCCGCAUCUCCUGCGCCGUCACCCGGCCCUUUGUCCUCGAUGCGCCACCGCGUGCGCGAGCUCCCCCGGCCGCCGCUCGAAUAGCCAAUCCAAGCCGCAUCAGCUCGACGCCUUUCGCCUUGUCCAACGACCUCCUCCCUCUCGACCGUCGGAGGACCUGGAAUGGGUGGGAGGCGCAGAGGUCGGGCACGAGACCAGCUUUCGGUCAGUCAACGUUUGGCGCUCCACAUCACCAACUACUUCUGAAGGAUUGCAGGAAGGAGCAGCAAGAAGAAAAUUCUAUCCGUACUAGCGGCACGGCGUGGUUUGCAAGAUUUACCCCAUCUUGUCAGUCUGGACCUCAGUAGCAACUCUCUCUGGGGCGUAAUUCCAUCAAGUAUUGGCGCUCUUGCCAAGCUCGCGCUCUUAGAUCUAUCCUUCAAUCUUCUUGAUGGACCCAUCCCGCCAUCCAUAGGUAGUUGUACUAAACUAACCUCUCUUGAUCUCUCACAUAAUAUUUUGUCCAAAAGAUCAAUUCGAAGCAUAGGAAAUUUGAUGAGUUUACGAUACUUAGAUCUUUCCAACAAUCAAAUAAAUGGUUCCUUCCCUUCGCCAUUUUGAAAUUAGCCUCUCUAACAACACUGGCACUUGGAUACAAUCAGCUUAAGGGCCUAUUACCGUCACAAUUUGGAUCUCUUAUUAUUCUCUCACAUCUGGAUCUUUCCAACAAUCAGAUCACGGGUUCCAUUGGUAGCAUAGCAAAUCUAACAAGUUUAGAAUUUCUGGAUCUUUCCAACAAUCGGAUCACGGGUUCCAUUGGUAGCACAGGAAAUCUAACAAGUUUAGAGUUCUUGGAUCUUUCCAACAAUCGAAUAAAUGGUUCCAUCCCUUCGACAUUCUCAAAAUUAAUCUCUCUUACAACACUAUCACUCAAGUCCAAUCAGCUUAAUGGAAUGUUACCACCAGAGUUAGGAUCUCUUGUUCUUCUCUCAUAUCUGGAUCUAAGUAGAAAUCAAUUUUCAGGAAGCAUUCCACCUCAGAUAGGACAAUGUCAGUUUUUAUCGUCGUUACUCGUGUCAGACAACUUAUUGACAGGACAGAUACCACAAGAAAUUGGAUAUCUUGCCAACUUAUAUGAGCUCGAUUUGAGUAAAAACAAUUUAAGCAGUGCCAUCCCAGUGACUUUCUCUUAUUUUUACCAACUGUUGGAACUGAAUUUAUCAUAUAAUAAUUUGGAUGGCAGUGUUCCAUUUAUCGCUGCUGCCAUGAUCUCACUUGACCAUAAUACGUACUUAUGCGGCAAUUUGUAUGGCUUAACUCCAUGUGAUACACCGAAGCUCGACGUGGAUCACCAAAAUAGGAAACAUCCAAGUAUGGUACUUCUUGCUCUUUUUGCACCCUUUUCCUUUGCUUGCCUCUCAAUAGUAAGCAUCAUGGUCGUCUGUUGGAGAAGAAAGUAUGUAAAAAGCACAACCAAAAGCAAGUCUGGAGAUAUACUUUCCAUAUGGAAUUUUGAUGGGAAGAUCGCGUUCGAAGACAUCCUCAGCGCAACAGAAAAUUUCGAUGAGAAAUAUUGCAUUGGUGUUGGAGGAUACGGAUCUGUCUUCAGAGUUCAUCUUGAAGGCGGGAUUACCUUUGCCGUCAAGCUCCUUCACUCAGUGGAAGAAUACAGCGACGAGGGAACAUUUCACGCCGAGAUUGAAGUGUUGACAAAAAACAGGCACCGAUGCAUCGUUAAGCUGUAUGGCUUCUGUUCCCACUCCCAGUGCAAAUUCCUCGUGUAUGAUCUUAUCGAGAGGGGAAGCUUGUCAUCCAUUAUGCACGAGCAAGGGCUUGCGAAGAAGCUGGAUUGGCCCAGGAGAGUUGCUGUUGUGACAGACGUAGCUCAAGCUCUCUCCUACUUGCACCAUGACUGCGGCGAUCCAAUCGUGCACCGCGACAUAAAAAGCAGCAACAUUCUUCUGGACAUCGAUUAUAAGGCUUAUGUUUCGGACUUCGGCAUGGCGAGGAAACUGAAGCAUGGCUACUCAAGCUGGAGCACUAUUUUUGCAGGCACAUGUGGCUACAUAGCUCCUGAGCUGUCAUCUACCAUGGUUUUGACUGAGAAGUGCGACGUGUACAGCUUUGGUGUGGUUGCGCUGGAAGUUUUAAUGGGAAAGCACCCAGGCGAUCUCCUCCUUCCGUUCUUUUGCCGAACAGAGCAGCAAGGGAAGUUCAAGGAUACCCUGGAUCGACGCGUCGCAGCACCGUCCACCGUCGAGGAGGAGAAGGAUGUCAUUUUGGUUGCCUUGGUGGCCUUUGCUUGCCUGCAAGUCAACCCCAAAGCUCGGCCAACAAUGCAGCAGGUAUAUCACCCACUAACAAAUAGAAACCACCCAGGGCUCAUGCUCAGACCCCUUCCUGAAAUCAGUCUUCAAGGGUUGCAUGAGUAUUGUGGCACCAUAAAGAAUAUAUGA